rnacentral:tRNA from 2 species
UCCCCGAUAGCUCAGCUGGUAGAGCGACGGACUGUUAAUCCGCAGGUCGCAGGUUCGAGCCCUGCUCGGGGAGCCA